rnacentral:rRNA from 1 species
UACGUAGGGGGCAAGCGUUGUCCGGAUUUAUUGGGCGUAAAGAGCUCGUAGGCGGUCUGUCGCGUCUGCUGUGAAAACUCGGGGCUUAACCCCGGGCCUGCAGUGGGUACGGGCAGACUAGAGUGCGGUAGGGGAGACUGGAAUUCCUGGUGUAGCGGUGAAAUGCGCAGAUAUCAGGAGGAACACCGAUGGCGAAGGCAGGUCUCUGGGCCACUACUGACGCUGAGAAGCGAAAGCAUGGGGAGCGAACAGG